UUUGAAUAGUUUUCUCCCCAAAAAAUUCACAUUAACAUUUUGUCCAUCAUUUUUUACAGAAACUUUCCUGAAUUGAAGCAUGAGACCAAAUUCGUUGUGCCAGUUUUCCAUGCUUAUGGACAUGACUUGCCAUGUCAGAUGAAAUCCAACAGCCGAUAUGUCGAAGGUGCUGGACUGGCAGAUGGGGAGCAGAUGGAGAGGCUGUAGUCGUAUCUGAGGCGCUUUGGGAAGGUCACCAAAGAAAUGACGCCGUCCCAUCGUAUUGACCUCCUGACUGAUGCACUUCUCUAACGUUGGAAAAAGAUACGCCAGAGACAAGUGGACUCUCUGCCACAGAGGUUUGCAACAGAAGUUGCAACAGAGGAAGAAAGGGAAAUGGCAGAAAUGGCCUCUUCCAGGCCACAGCAGGAAAGUGGAGAUGAAACAGCUGUUUGUCAGCUUGUGCAGAUGGAGAGGUACUUCCUCAGUUUAACAAUGCAAUUGUUAGAUCAAUGAAUAUAAUUGAUCUCCCUGGUCAAAGUAUUUAGAACCUUGCUGAUGACAGAAAACUGAAGACGAUGGAGAGGAAGAACAGCAUCCUCCAUCGAUGGUCCCCCUCCAGCAGUCGCUUCCAGACUGCACUCCACAGACCGCAGAGUAACAGAUUGAGAACAUUCAGUCUGGUGAUGGAACGGAGGUUCCUCUGUGGCCUGAUGAGAAAAUAUGCAGUAUAUAUAUAUAUUGUUGGAUGGUAGAAGAGUAAUUGUAUAGCAGCUUUUGUCAUUUUUUAAUGUUUUUUUUAAAUGUUUUUUUUGUUUAGAUUGGAUUACAUUUUUUUAUAUAUUUUUUUUAUGUGUCUAUUUUAUCUGUUAUCAAUAGAUGGUCAAGGUAUUGCCAAACGCCUGUCCAAAAGGCUUGCCACAGUCGUUAGUAGCACAAUUUUUUUUUUGAAGGACUACAACCUGAGGAGACAAGGUUUGUCCUCACAGAUUCCACAGGCCCUGGUGUAUGAGGAUGCAGUGCAGGUGGACAGCACUGUUUGGUCCUGGAGAGCAGUAGGAGCAGAGGAUGAUGAGGAGUUUCACCUCAAGCAAAGGCUCUUUGUGCUCCAUCCCCUCAGGCGUGGGAAGAGAAGCGGUACAAUGAGGAUGAUGUCUUCACUGCCAAGAAGUUCUACUCACAUGAGCAGUGACUGAUUGUGGAGGCCAGAGCAAGAUCAAUUUUGUCUUGGGGCAAGAGCUGUCCUUGCUGGAAAUCCAGCAGGCAGAAGGACAAUGUGAAUUGGGGCUUUUAUUGAGGGCAGUGGCAGAAACUUUGAAGUGUAGGACAUCGAGGAAGUAGAUGAGGAUGAUGACUAUUAUGAUGAUGACGGUGACAGUAAUGGUGAUAUUGAUUGAGGCUGAGGGUUGCGGUGUCCAUUAUGUUUUAAUUUAUGUCAUUGUAUUCGGGCAAGUAGCCUAGUGGUUAAAGCAAUGGACUAGUAACCGAAAGGUUGCAAGAUUGCAUUCCCGAGCUGACAAGGUAAAAAUCUGUCGUUCUGCCCCUGAACAAGGCAGUUAACCCACUGUUCCUAGGCUGUCAUUGAAAAUAAGAAUUUGUUCUUAACUGACUUGCCUGGUUAAAUAAAGGUAAAAUAAACUGCUAAAGGGCACUGGGACCAAUAAUUAUAAUAUACUAUUUCUUGAAGAUAAACAAUAGAGAAACAAUAAAAGUAAUAAUUUGCAGACCACAAGUUGAACACCACUGGUUUAUUGGACACAUCACCAUGAUAGCCCCAACUCAAACCAGCAACACAGUCCUUUAAUAAUCUCCCAAACUCUGAAUAGCGUUUACAACUGCUGAUAUUAAAGCAUUUACAGCUGCUGAUAGGGUUGUCUUCUCCGUGUUUGCAAAGGGUCUAGGAGUGGGCUCCAUAAUGGGCUGAGUACCUGUGUAUACCAAACCCUGGGACG